UGAAGUUGUUCCAAAGCUGAGAAGGACAAAAAGCAUUCAGAUGAAAAAAGUUCCAGAUUUUUCUGAUGCUCUCUACGAUUCAAGUGAUGACAGUACAGAGGGCCCUUCAACUCAGUCCAAGUCUGAGAUGGCUUCACAAAGGCCAAGGAGAGGCUGUUACCGUCCUAUUCAAAAGAUUCUUGUAGGAUCAGAUGCCUCAAGUGUAGAUAGUGGAGAGGAGUAUGUUCCAGGUCGAAUGGAGGAGAGCACAGACAGUGACUGCAGCUUGGAAAUACCCAUGGAAAAUAAAAAUAUGAACAAAGUAUCUACUAGUCCAAAAAGAUGCAAGCCUUCCAGUAAGGAUAGGUUCAAGUCUUCAAGUCAGAGCACAUUUAAGUCUUCAAGUCAGAAAAACUUUGAGUCCUCCAGCCAG